GGAUUCAACGACGCNCGAGUUAUGUAUCUAACAUUGGUNCGGUUGGUUUAUGGUCUCACACCUGCGCCGGUCGUUUGACAUGCCUAACACAUGCAAGUCGAGCGAGAAAGGGUAGCAAUAUCCGAGUACAGCGGCGCACGGGUGAGUAACACGUGGGUAAUCUGCCUCGAAGUGGGGUAUAACACCGGGAAACCGGUGCUAAUACCGCAUAAUCUGAUUGGAUCUGCGGAUUUGAUCAGCAAAGGAGCAAUUCGCUUUGAGAGGAUGCCCGCGGCUGAUUAGCUAGUUGGUGAGGUAAUGGCUCACCAAUGGCCACGAUCAGUAGCCGGUCUGAGAGGACGGUCAGGCCACACUGGAACUGAGACACGGUCCAGACUACCUACGGGAGGCAGCAGCUAGGGGAAUUAUUUCGCAAUGGGGGCAACCCUGACGAAGCAACGCCGCGUGGACUGAUGAAGUCUCUAUGGGACAGUACAAAUCCUUUCGACGGGGACGAAACCGCAAGGUUGACGGUACCCGUAGAAGGAAGCCCCGGCUAACUCCGUGCCANCA
rnacentral:rRNA from 1 species